CAAUAGCGUAUAUUAAAGUUGUUGCAGUUAAAAAGCUCGUAGUUGGAUUUCGGGACGGGCCAGUUGGUCCGCCGCAAGGUGUGUUACUGACUGGUCUGUUCUUCUUCGCAAAGACUGCGUGUGCUCUUCGUUGAGUGUGCGUAGGAUUUACGACGUUUACUUUGAAAAAAUUAGAGUGUUCAAAGCAGGCUAUCGCUCGAAUACAUGAGCAUGGAAUAAUGGAAUAGGACUUUGGUCCUAUUUUGUUGGUUUCUAGGACCGAAGUAAUGAUUAAGAGGGACAAUUGGGGGCAUCCGUAUUUCGUUGUCAGAGGUGAAAUUCUUGGAUUUACGAAAGACGAACAACUGCGAAAGCACUUGCCAAGAGUGUUUUCAUUAA
rnacentral:rRNA from 1 species